UUUUGCAACUUGUUUAUUGAGAAACAACCAUGUUCCUGCCUGUGAGGAGCUCAGUCUAGAGGAGGCAGUAUUGACGGAGUUCCCGGGACCAGUGAGAUCAAUUUCGAGACUACAGCUGAGGGGCCAGGAAGGUUGUGUUUGUUAUAUUGGGUACAGCUGUAUAGAGGGCGAGCCAAUAGAAGCUGGAGGGGUGCCCAACUUGGGCAAAUGUACCGCAGCUGGAAAACCACCUUCAGGUUUUCAGUGGUGAUGAGGGAGACAGGCCCAAGUGGUUGUCAAGGUAACGGGCUAAAUCAGGGAGGGCCUAAGUGCUGGCUGAAGGGGGGGGGGGGGGAGGAGGAGGGCUGCAAAGAGACGAGACAGGACUCAAUGGAGUGAGUCCUGUCAAAACCAGGCAGGAGAGGAGGAGCUAGGGCUAUCUCUUAGUGGCCAGUGAGGGUGGCAAAAAAUAAAAAAUAAAUAAAAAUAAAUAAAAAGGGAAGGACAAUUUCCAUUGAUGUGCCAGAGGUGAGGUUCCUCAGAAGCACAGAGCAGGUGACUCCAGUGUGGAAUAGCAAUCACACAGAGAGAGGGGGAUUGAGAGUGGGCUGGGACCCACUUACCUUUGCAGGACCCCAGGUUUCUUCUCUCAGACAUCUUUUGGCUUGGCUCUCGACCCAGGAGGCUGGCUGGCUGCAGUUUGCCAAGGGGAGAAUUCACUUCUAAGAAAAAAAACUUGUUCUACUACAUAUAACCAAGAGAGGGCUCCUGGCUUCCCACAAACUCCCCCAGACCUGUGUGGAGGAAGAGCAAGUCUGCAGGGAGGAAAUGACCAAAAGCGACCAGCUCUGGGGAGGGUUCAGACAGCACACGGCCACCCCACCCGUUCCAGCCUGCCUACUCACCCAGCCCUACCUCAGCAGGAGGCUGGCAAAGUCCCAGCACUACCCGGCCUAGAGUGUUGGAUUUGGACUCAACUCUGGUGGUGAUGGUGGGGCUGGAUCUGUAACUAAAAAUAACCAGGAAUCUAGCCAGCUGCUGGUGAGAGCCUCCUCAGAGGUCGGGCCGGGCCAGCUGAGGAGAUAGGCGCGCGCGCGCGCACUCACACCCACCCAGGGUGGCUUUACUCCCUCAUCAGCAAGAUGUUCAGGGGGCCUGGGGCACUCUCCAUUGUCCAGGAAUUCCUAGAGAGCAGAGGAAAGCAAGAAAUUGCUUCUGUGGGUUCUUGCCUCAAACCCCCCUCAGGGAGCUGUCAGGUGGUCACUGCAGAGACUAAAGCUCAGAUCCAGGGGGGCAGAGGAGAACAGACUGCAGCCUUUAAGGACAAAGUACAAAUUUGGGUGGGGGAGGCUAAGGCCACCACUCCCCUAUUCAGAGGCCCCAUAAAUCAAUUAUUGAGCUAUCCAAAUGCAGAUGGAACGGAUAAGAGGGGGGAGAUAAAGACUCUAGCAGAGGGGUGAAGCCAGGCUAUCUUAUCUACCUGGUUAGGCAGCCUGACCGCUCCAAGUCUCAGCUACUUAACAGCUCCAGGGAACAAGCAGAGGAUGGGCUUAGUGAUUUCUGGAAGCCAGGCGGAAAACCAGCGAACGUUGGUACAAAGGGAUAUACCUAGGGUCCUAACCUGUCACUAGGACUAGCCCGGACACAGCAAGACCCUCCUCCAUCACGCGACAAUUUAAUAGCUCUGAAGGUUUUUGUUCAACUUUCCCUCCUGGUUCCCAUUGGCACGGAACAAUCCGAGAAAACACUGGGGGCCGUGGAGAGCGGGGAUGGCGGGUCCUCCGACCCACCUCGGUUGCAGAGAGUCUAAAAAGGUCAUAUUCCAAACUUGGGCUCGGGGCCAGGUGGAGGAGCCGGAAGGGGCGGGGACACUGGAAUCUCGUGUAGUAAAUCGAGUACAGCCACCUCCCAGUUCAGGCAAGCCUUCUGCUGGCGUGGCCCUCUCUCUGCAGGCCAGAGCGGCUCCGCCCCACGCUCCGUGGGUGACCAGGAGGCGGGGCACCCCUCGGGGCCAGGAACAACAGCAGGACAAACUGCCCCACCCUACAGCCCAGGAGGUGAUAAGGGGCCAAAGAAAGGAGAGAGAGAGAGAGAGGUGGAAAAGACCUGAAGUAGAGAGCAAGCCACAAGUUGGUCCCGGUCACUUCCAUCUUCCCCUUUCAAGCACCACGUCACAGCUUAGCGCCUAAUUGCUCCCUAAAGCCUGUAGCCCUCCAGGGUACAGCUGACACAGCGCGACUUAAAUCAAUUAGUGGGAGGCUGGAGGAGAUAAAGACCCCAGCCAGAUCCAAGGACUCUAACCAGAGCCUUUAGGGUUGAUCAGUUGUGUUCCAAGGCUUACCAGGUAUCUAAAGUAUGAACGAGACCAACCUAGCAAAGCGCUCUUCUCCCCGCCCCCCUUCUCAAUAGGGGUGAGGAGUUCAGCCUUCCCAGCAGAAAGCCAGCUCAUCGACGGACUUGAUGCCUGGCCCUCUGCACCAGCGGGAGCCACGGGACCAUUGUGGAGCCUUGCUAUACCAGACAGCUCUCUCUGGCAGUGAUAAAGGCAGACAGCUGGCACGGGAGGGAGCCUAAAAUAACCCAGACAGCUGGGCAAGGGGGUGUCACGGGCCCAGGUUCUGGGCUGAAAAUCAAGACACCUGGAACCCUGUCCAGGCUCUGCUCCGUGGUGGCCUCAUAACCUUGGGUGAGACAUUUCUUCUCUUGGGGCUAUUGGUGGGUGGCCCUUAAAUCCCGACCCAACCACAGGACAGCCUACGGAGCCCCGGGAACAGCCUGGACUCAAACACUAGAAGAAAAACAGGGCUGGCUGCCUUCCCAAGCAAAGCCAGUUUUCUUUCUCCUUUGCCUGGAGGCUCCAGCACGUGCUUCAGGAAGUGGGCUGGCGGGGAGGAGCCCUGGAGACAGCCCAGCCCCCACCGGCGCAGGCAGCAACCACUCCCAGCAACAAUCCUUAUCACAAUGGAGGCCAACUGGUUGUGAGGUCAGAGCAGGAGUCUGGCCCUCUUAAUCUCACUUAAUCCUCCCACCAACCUUUUCCAGCAGCAAGGCAGACAUCAGAAGGGGGCUCAGCUGGUCCCCCUAAUGGGGUUCAGGAACAAUGUCUGAAGCACCACUGGGAAACCUGGCAGCAGUCACCGUCUUCAGAAGUUUCCAGGGCCCUCCCAGCCACCAUAAACCACACCACUGGGAAAUACUUGGUAGUCCUUGCUCUAGUAAGCUGCUAAAUUCGGCAUGAGAAUCGCCCGCCCUAAACGCCCCACAGCAGAAGCUGACAGGCGGGGCUGGAUGGACCCAGCAGGCCGCCCAUUUCACACACACAACCGCCACAUCAGCGUGGGGGAGGGGCUGCAGAACCAGCCCAGCAGGUUUGGGGAUCCCAAGCCGCCCUUCGAAGGCUGCAGGUCAAAGCCCGGCAACAGUUCUCUGAACUUGGGGAAAGGGCUCUUACCUACCUUAGUGGGGGAAGGCUCUCAGUCAAAUUGGGCCUGCUCCAGAUGUCCAGAGGAAGCAAGGAUUGUCUACAGUGGGGAUAACACAGACAUGGCUCCGGUCUCCGGCCAAGACCUGUAAAUUCGGACGUUCUGUUAGGGCAAUUCCACAGUUUGUAGGUUCAGAGAGAAUGGAUUGGCCAAAUGCAAUACCAACAGGGUCUACUAGAUAGAAAGGGAGUCACAGAAAUGCUGUGUCCCCCCCCCCCCUUUCCCAGCUGACAAGGCGGCCCUCACUGUGGAAUGGGUGGGGGUGGGGUGAGGGUGGCUGAGUCACUAAAGUUCAACCCAGGAGACCAGCAGCGGGAGACGACUCAUCUGCAUUUCCAAAGACCCGCCCUGUCCACAUCCCCUCCCCCAGGAAGGCCAGGAUCUAAGGCUUUACCCUCGGGCACUAUCGCGGCGGGGGGCUGGGGGGGAUCCCGAAGGGGAGGCCCCAAUCGGCUUUCCCAAGCCCCAGCCCACCCCCUUCCAAAACACACCUCCAACCCACAGAGAGCUGGGUUGGAGGCUGGGCCCCUGGCGUCCAAGUGAAGCCACUGCGAAGGCCUCUAACCCCAAGUGGGGACAAAAGGGGAGACCCGCCCCUCCGGCUCGACUACCAAAGGACGUCUGGGGGAGGCAGGGGUGGGUCUCCCGAAGCCAAGUGGCAGUGAAGGGAGGCUGGAGCAGCCUCUUAGCCCUUGGCUAACUACUGGCUCCUGUUCCGAGGCAGAACGGCAGGCAGUGCAAGCCAGAGCGAGGCCUCGUGCCCGUGUGGGCCUUGGGAGGCCGGGGCUGCCACGGAGAUCGGGGUCCCUCACCCGCCUCCAGGGGCUCGCCCUACCCGGCCUCGGCUCCCCCCGCGGCCGCCACUGCCCGAACCGCGCCUGGGGGGAGGGGCUCGGGGGGAUCGAGUGCGGAGAAUUAGGGUGCGCGACGCCCCCCGGGGCCUAAGGCCCCCCGAGACCCGUCACCAGGAUCGCGGGCGCCGUGCCUGGCAGGCUGUUAGGGCCCGGGGCUGCCUCUCGGCUCCCAGCGACAACCAGGGAAAAGCAGGAUGGCGGAAGGAAGGAGGAAAGCCGGCCGCCAUUAGCCAGAGAGCAGUAUUGAAUGGCCCGGCGGCUUCAGCCUUGGCUCCAACCCGACCCAGCCCUCGGCUCGGCUCAAAAACCUGAAAAUAAAACUCGUGUUUGAGAGGGAGGAGCGAGCGCGGCCCGGAGGACAAGCAGCGCCAGGCUGCAGGCGGGAGAGAGAUGCUGCGUCAUGAUGCCAACAUGGACGCCGGCCUUUUGUCCUUUUUCUCUUUGGAAGAGCAGGCGAGCCCCGGAGCCCCGAAAAGCUGGCUUCCGGGGGACAGAAACCCCCACAAUCAAUCAGGAACGAGACUUUAAGAUGGGUGGGAAGGUUUCCUCGCUUUUUUCAGCCCCUCCAUCUCCAAAACACUUCGAUUUCUUCUCUGCCACUAAGGUGCAAACCUGAGGCGAGCCAAAGGGACUAGCGCAGGCGGCUCCAUGGAUGCCCCAGGGUACUGGGGACAGGCUCUCUUCGCCUUUGGGUGCAAAAGAGGCAGAGGGGUCUGGAGAGCCCUAGUCCCCUCACCCACCCACUGCAAUCGGCUGCCAAGCUCAAGCUCAAGAAAUCCCAGCUCCCAAUCAUCUGCAGCCCAUGGCCUGCUCAAUCGAGAGUUCCUCGAAGGGGGAAAAAGACACUUGAAAACAAAUUUUUUUAGUCUAGUUUUUUACUUACCCACUCAGCCCGGCGCCAUGGCGUCUAGAAGAAAAAGCUGGCCGGCGCUUUUGGAGAUAUUAUAAAAAUAACAGGUCUUUUUUUGGGAGGUGGGGGAUGUUUGGUUGUUUAGUUGGGGGGAAACCUGGGGUUCUGGUGUCCCUUUGUUACCUUCUUUGUAAGUUACACUCGUGGUAUUUCUGCUCCUUCCACGACUGCAAACUUUCCAGGGUUGGGCUGGCAAAAAGGCGGCUUCGCUGAGGGCUGUUUAGUGCUCUGGAUUUACCAAUGGUGUGAUCGUCAUUAAGAAACAAAAGGCGAAAACACAAGUCAAAUCAAAACAAAAGGCAAAACCAGCCAUCCCAACCGCCACAGAAAAUACCACCGACUCAACGUAGGUGUUUGGCUUGAACCGGCUAAGGGCUUGUUUUCCAGUUUUAAUCUAGUUUUCAGAGGCGGCUUUCAGUCUUUUUUUAUACAAAAGGUCUUCCUUUCUCUUACCCUCCACCACCCCACACCCAGUUCGAGAAAAACAGCUGUUUUUCUUCAAAUAGAUCGAUUUUCAAAGAGUGUACGAGCUACUGGGAAGAAAUCUGAAUAGCAACUAUGGCUGUAAACAUUUUUUUUUUUCCAAAAAGCUCGAAGCUAAAAAAUCGUAGCUUUAUAGAAGCAAAAACGUCUAAAAGCAUUUUAACUGACUUACAUCAGACAAAGACAAAGACAUACAUGCAGAUGAAGCUUCCGAAAAUUCAGGACAUCUCAGGCGACAGUAACACGAGAACGGCAGUGCAGUUAAGGACAGAAUGGAUUGGGUACUUACAAUGUAAAAGGUUUUUAGAAAAUUUAACAGUAACAACAGCUCACAGUUUUUUUGUUAUUGUUGCCGUUUCGCUACAACUAUACAUUUAAAACAUUACCUUGUUAAAAAAUAGAAUUAAUAAGAUGGUCAGGCUUAAGUGUUUAAUAGAGGAAACUAUAUUUA
rnacentral:lncRNA from 1 species